GACAAGCCCUGGAAACGGGGUCUAAUACCGGAUACGACAUCCUCCCGCAUGGGRAGGGUGUGGAAAGCUCCGGCGGUACAGGAUGAGCCCGCGGCCUAUCAGCUUGUUGGUGGGGUGAUGGCCUACCAAGGCGACGACGGGUAGCCGGCCUGAGAGGGCGACCGGCCACACUGGGACUGAGACACGGCCCAGACUCCUACGGGAGGCAGCAGUGGGGAAUAUUGCACAAUGGGCGAAAGCCUGAUGCAGCGACGCCGCGUGAGGGAUGACGGCCUUCGGGUUGUAAACCUCUUUCAGCAGGGAAGAAGCGAGAGUGACGGUACCUGCAGAAGAAGCACCAGCUAACUACGUGCCAGCAGCCGCGGUAAUACGUAGGGUGCGAGCGUUGUCCGGAAUUAUUGGGCGUAAAGAGCUCGUAGGCGGCCUGUCACGUCGGAUGUGAAAGCCCGGGGCUUAACCCCGGGUCUGCAUUCGAUACGGGCAGGCUAGAGUUCGGUAGGGGAGAUCGGAAUUCCUGGUG
rnacentral:rRNA from 1 species